AGAGUUUGAUCCUGGCUCAGGAUGAACGCUAGCGGCAGGCCUAAUACAUGCAAGUCGUGGGGCAGCAGGGUUGUAGCAAUACAAUCGCUGGCGACCGGCAAACGGGUGCGGAACACGUACGCAACCUUCCUUUAAGUGGAGGAUAGCCCGGGGAAACCCGGAUUAAUACUCCGUAACAUUAUGAGGUGGCAUCAUCUUAUAAUUAUAGCUCCGGCGCUUAAAGAUGGGCGUGCGUCUGAUUAGGUAGUUGGCGGGGUAACAGCCCACCAAGCCUACGAUCAGUAACUGGUGUGAGAGCACGACCAGUCACACGGGCACUGAGACACGGGCCCGACUCCUACGGGAGGCAGCAGUAAGGAAUAUUGGUCAAUGGACGCAAGUCUGAACCAGCCAUGCCGCGUGGAGGAUGAAGGUCCUCUGGAUUGUAAACUUCUUUUAUCUGGGAAGAAACCCACGGUUUCUACUGUGGUUGACGGUACCAGAUGAAUAAGCACCGGCUAACUCCGUGCCAGCAGCCGCGGUAAUACGGAGGGUGCAAGCGUUAUCCGGAUUCACUGGGUUUAAAGGGUGCGUAGGCGGGCAGGUAAGUCAGUGGUGAAAUCUCCGGGCUUAACCCGGAAACUGCCGUUGAUACUAUCUGUCUUGAAUAUCGUGGAGGUGAGCGGAAUAUGUCAUGUAGCGGUGAAAUGCUUAGAUAUGACAUAGAACACCAAUUGCGAAGGCAGCUCGCUACACGGUUAUUGACGCUGAGGCACGAAAGCGUGGGGAUCAAACAGGAUUAGAUACCCUAGUAGUCC
rnacentral:rRNA from 1 species